CUACGGGAGGCAGCAGUGGGGAAUAUUGGACAAUGGGGGCAACCCUGAUCCAGCAAUGCCGCGUGUGUGAAGAAGGUCUUCGGAUUGUAAAGCACUUUCACUAGGGAAGAUGAUGACGGUACCUAGAGAAGAAGCCCCGGCUAACUUCGUGCCAGCAGCCGCGGUAAUACGAAGGGGGCUAGCGUUGCUCGGAAUGACUGGGCGUAAAGGGCGCGUAGGCUGUUUGUACAGUCAGAUGUGAAAUCCCCGGGCUUAACCUGGGAACUGCAUUUGAUACGUGCAGACUAGAGUCCGAGAGAGGGUUGUGGAAUUCCCAGUGUAGAGGUGAAAUUCGUAGAUAUUGGGAAGAACACCGGUUGCGAAGGCGGCAACCUGGCUCGGAACUGACGCUGAGGCGCGAAAGCGUGGGGAGCGAACAGGAUUAGAUACCCUGGUAGUCCACGCUGUAAACGAUGUGUGCUGGAUGUUGGGUGAUUUUAUCAUUCAGUGUCGGAGCUAACGCGUUAAGCACACCGCCUGGGGAGUACGGCCGCNAGGUUGAAACUCAAAGGAAUUGACGGGGGCCGNCACAAACGGUG
rnacentral:rRNA from 1 species